rnacentral:misc_RNA from 1 species
AACACUUGGCAUUAUUUCCUUCUAGCAUUUAAAAGGCAAAGGAAAUGAGAGAUGACAACUGUAGCUUCUUUUCUUUCAAUCCUUUCUUCCUUUAAUUUUUCUCCUUUCUACUUCUUUCUUCUUCCAUUUAUAUUUCAACAAAGAAAUUUGUUCAUUCUUCUCCCUCAUUAAAUGGUAGCUUCUCCAUUCUUCUCCCUAUCAUUUUAGAGAUUUCCUAUUACCAACCUCUCCUUCACACUACUAAAACUAUAUAAGAGUAUAGAUGAGGG